UACGUAGGGUGCGAGCGUUUAAUCGGAAUUACUGGGCGUAAAGCGCGCGUAGGCGGCUUUGUAAGUUAGAGGUGAAAGCCCGGGGCUCAACUCCGGAAUUGCCUUUAAGACUGCAUCGCUAGAAUUGUGGAGAGGUAAGUGGAAUUCCGAGUGUAGAGGUGAAAUUCGUAGAUAUUCGGAAGAACACCAGUGGCGAAGGCGACUUACUGGACACAUAUUGACGCUGAGGUGCGAAAGCGUGGGGAGCAAACAGG
rnacentral:rRNA from 1 species